rnacentral:rRNA from 1 species
GAGCCGGAGGGAAACCGAGUCUUAAUUGGGCGUUAAGUUGCAGGGUAUAGACCCGAAACCCGGUGAUCUAGCCAUGGGCAGGUUGAAGGUUGGGUAACACUAACUGGAGGACCGAACCGACUAAUGUUGAAAAAUUAGCGGAUGACCUGUGGCUGGGGGUGAAAGGCCAAUCAAACCGGGAGAUAGCUGGUUCUCCCCGAAAGCUAUUUAGGUAGCGCCUCGUGAAUUCAUCUCCGGGGGUAGAGCACUGUUUCGGCUAGGGGGCCAUCCCGGCUUACCAACCCGAUGCAAACUGCGAAUACCGGAGAAUGUUAUCACGGGAGACACACGGCGGGUGCUAACGUCCGUCGUGAAGAGGGAAACAACCCAGACCGCCAGCUAAGGUCCCAAAGUCAUGGUUAAGUGGGAAACGAUGUGGGAAGGCCCAGACAGCCAGGAUGUUGGCUUAGAAGCAGCCAUCAUUUAAAGAAAGCGUAAUAGCUCACUGGUCGAGUCGGCCUGCGCGGAAGAUGUAACGGGGCUAAACCAUGCACCGAAGCUGCGGCAGCGAACGUAUCACUUAAAGCGAUUCAGCGGGUUACGAUUGACGGAGCGAAGCGACGUCAAAGCGUAUACAAAGUCGAGUCGGUUUAAGGAUACGUUCGUUGGGUAGGGGAGCGUUCUGUAAGCCUGUGAAGGUGGCCUGUGAGGGUUGCUGGAGGUAUCAGAAGUGCGAAUGCUGACAUAAGUAACGAUAAAGCGGGUGAAAAGCCCGCUCGCCGGAAGACCAAGGGUUCCUGUCCAACGUUAAUCGGGGCAGGGUGAGUCGACCCCUAAGGCGAGGCCGAAAGGCGUAGUCGAUGGGAAACGGGUUAAUAUUCCCGUACUUGGUGUUACUGCGAAGGGGGGACGGAGAAGGCUAUGUUGGCCGGGCGACGGUUGUCCCGGUUUAAGCGUGUAGGCUGGUUUUCCAGGCAAAUCCGGAAAAUCAAGGCUGAGGCGUGAUGACGAGGCACUACGGUGCUGAAGCAACAAAUGCCCUGCUUCCAGGAAAAGCCUCUAAGCAUCAGGUAACAUCAAAUCGUACCCCAAACCGACACAGGUGGUCAGGUAGAGAAUACCAAGGCGCUUGAGAGAACUCGGGUGAAGGAACUAGGCAAAAUGGUGCCGUAACUUCGGGAGAAGGCACGCUGACACGUAGGUGAAGUGAUUUACUCACGGAGCUGAAGUCAGUCGAAGAUACCAGCUGGCUGCAACUGUUUAUUAAAAACACAGCACUGUGCAAACACGAAAGUGGACGUAUACGGUGUGACGCCUGCCCGGUGCCGGAAGGUUAAUUGAUGGGGUCAGCGCAAGCGAAGCUCCUGAUCGAAGCCCCGGUAAACGGCGGCCGUAACUAUAACGGUCCUAAGGUAGCGAAAUUCCUUGUCGGGUAAGUUCCGACCUGCACGAAUGGCGUAAUGAUGGCCAGGCUGUCUCCACCCGAGACUCAGUGAAAUUGAACUCGCUGUGAAGAUGCAGUGUACCCGCGGCAAGACGGAAAGACCCCGUGAACCUUUACUAUAGCUUGACACUGAACAUUGAGCCUUGAUGUGUAGGAUAGGUGGGAGGCUUUGAAGUGUGGACGCCAGUCUGCAUGGAGCCGACCUUGAAAUACCACCCUUUAAUGUUUGAUGUUCUAACGUGGACCCGUUACCCGGGUUGCGGACAGUGUCUGGUGGGUAGUUUGACUGGGGCGGUCUCCUCCUAAAGAGUAACGGAGGAGCACGAAGGUUGGCUAAUCCUGGUCGGACAUCAGGAGGUUAGUGCAAUGGCAUAAGCCAGCUUGACUGCGAGCGUGACGGCGCGAGCAGGUGCGAAAGCAGGUCAUAGUGAUCCGGUGGUUCUGAAUGGAAGGGCCAUCGCUCAACGGAUAAAAGGUACUCCGGGGAUAACAGGCUGAUACCGCCCAAGAGUUCAUAUCGACGGCGGUGUUUGGCACCUCGAUGUCGGCUCAUCACAUCCUGGGGCUGAAGUAGGUCCCAAGGGUAUGGCUGUUCGCCAUUUAAAGUGGUACGCGAGCUGGGUUUAGAACGUCGUGAGACAGUUCGGUCCCUAUCUGCCGUGGGCGCUGGAGAACUGAGGGGGGCUGCUCCUAGUACGAGAGGACCGGAGUGGACGCAUCACUGGUGUUCGGGUUGUCAUGCCAAUGGCACUGCCCGGUAGCUAAAUGCGGAAGAGAUAAGUGCUGAAAGCAUCUAAGCACGAAACUUGCCCCGAG